GAUGUCUCACUGCUCCCCCGACAUACUGCGGGAAAUACCCCAUAGGUUAGGGAGGCUGGAAUGCCCCCUAGCUCAAAGGUCCGCCGCCACAGGAUGGGUCUGCGGCCGAUUAGGUUGUUGUUGGGGUAACGGCCCAACAAGCCUUUGAUCGGUACGGGUUGUGGGAGCAAGAGCCCGGAGAUGGAUUCUGAGACACGAAUCCAGGCCCUACGGGGCGCAGCAGGCGCGAAAACUUUACAAUGCGAGAAAUCGUGAUAAGGGAACCCCGAGUGCCCGUAAAUUCGGGCUGUCCGCCAGUGCAAAAAACUGGUGAAGAAAGAGCCGGGCAAGACCGGUGCCAGCAGCCGCGGUAAUACGAUCCCCCCGUG
rnacentral:rRNA from 1 species